CGACAUCGGCGUUUCCGUCGGCCUGCACUUCGGGGAGCUGCACUGCCUGCACCUGGCGGCGCCCGGGUCCAACAUGUCGUUGGGGGGCGUCUCGGCC
rnacentral:rRNA from 1 species